GGAAGGCCCAGACAGCCAGGAUGUUGGCUUAGAAGCAGCCAUCAUUUAAAGAAAGCGUAAUAGCUCACUGGUCGAGUCGGCCUGCGCGGAAGAUGUAACGGGGCUAAACCAUGCACCGAAGCUGCGGCAGCGACACUGUGUGUUGUUGGGUAGGGGAGCGUUCUGUAAGCCUGUGAAGGUGUGCUGUGAGGUAUGCUGGAGGUAUCAGAAGUGCGAAUGCUGACAUAAGUAACGAUAAAGCGGGUGAAAAGCCCGCUCGCCGGAAGACCAAGGGUUCCUGUCCAACGUUAAUCGGGGCAGGGUGAGUCGACCCCUAAGGCGAGGCCGAAAGGCGUAGUCGAUGGGAAACAGGUUAAUAUUCCUGUACUUGGUGUUACUGCGAAGGGGGGACGGAGAAGGCUAUGUUGGCUGGGCGACGGUUGUCCCGGUUUAAGCGUGUAGGCUGGUUUUCCAGGCAAAUCCGGAAAAUCAAGGCUGAGGCGUGAUGACGAGGCACUACGGUGCUGAAGCAACAAAUGCCCUGCUUCCAGGAAAAGCCUCUAAGCAUCAGGUAACAUCAAAUCGUACCCCAAACCGACACAGGUGGUCAGGUAGAGAAUACCAAGGCGCUUGAGAGAACUCGGGUGAAGGAACUAGGCAAAAUGGUGCCGUAACUUCGGGAGAAGGCACGCUGAUAUGUAGGUGAAGUCCCUCGCGGAUGGAGCUGAAAUCAGUCGAAGAUACCAGCUGGCUGCAACUGUUUAUUAAAAACACAGCACUGUGCAAACACGAAAGUGGACGUAUACGGUGUGACGCCUGCCCGGUGCCGGAAGGUUAAUUGAUGGGGUUAGCGCAAGCGAAGCUCUUGAUCGAAGCCCCGGUAAACGGCGGCCGUAACUAUAACGGUCCUAAGGUAGCGAAAUUCCUUGUCGGGUAAGUUCCGACCUGCACGAAUGGCGUAAUGAUGGCCAGGCUGUCUCCACCCGAGACUCAGUGAAAUUGAACUCGCUGUGAAGAUGCAGUGUACCCGCGGCAAGACGGAAAGACCCCGUGAACCUUUACUAUAGCUUGACACUGAACAUUGAGCCUUGAUGUGUAGGAUAGGUGGGAGGCUUUGAAGUGUGGACGCCAGUCUGCAUGGAGCCGACCUUGAAAUACCACCCUUUAAUGUUUGAUGUUCUAACGUGGACCCGUGAUCCGGGUUGCGGACAGUGUCUGGUGGGUAGUUUGACUGGGGCGGUCUCCUCCUAAAGAGUAACGGAGGAGCACGAAGGUUGGCUAAUCCUGGUCGGACAUCAGGAGGUUAGUGCAAUGGCAUAAGCCAGCUUGACUGCGAGCGUGACGGCGCGAGCAGGUGCGAAAGCAGGUCAUAGUGAUCCGGUGGUUCUGAAUGGAAGGGCCAUCGCUCAACGGAUAAAAGGUACUCCGGGGAUAACAGGCUGAUACCGCCCAAGAGUUCAUAUCGACGGCGGUGUUUGGCACCUCGAUGUCGGCUCAUCACAUCCUGGGGCUGAAGUAGGUCCCAAGGGUAUGGCUGUUCGCCAUUUAAAGUGGUACGCGAGCUGGGUUUAGAACGUCGUGAGACAGUUCGGUCCCUAUCUGCCGUGGGCGCUGGAGAACUGAGGGGGGCUGCUCCUAGUACGAGAGGACCGGAGUGGACGCAUCACUGGUGUUCGGGUUGUCAUGCCAAUGGCACUGCCCGGUAGCUAAAUGCGGAAGAGAUAAGUGCUGAAAGCAUCUAAGCACGAAACUUGCCCCGAGAUGAGUUCUCCCUGACCCUUUAAGGGUCCUGAAGGAACGUUGAAGACGACGACGUUGAUAGGCCGGGUGUGUAAGCGCAGCGAUGCGUUGAGCUAACCGGUACUAAUGAACCGUGAGGCUUAACCUU
rnacentral:rRNA from 1 species